rnacentral:rRNA from 1 species
UACAGAGGGGGCAAGCGUUAUUCGGAAUUAUUGGGCGUAAAGAGCGUGUAGGCGGCCAGGUAGGUCUGCUGUGAAAACUCGAGGCUCAACCUCGAGAUGUCGGCGGAAACCAUCUGGCUAGAGUCCGGAAGAGGAAAGUGGAAUUCCUGGUGUAGCGGUGAAAUGCGCAGAUAUCAGGAAGAACACCCGUGGCGAAGGCGGCUUUCUGGGACGGUACUGACGCUGAGACGCGAAAGCGUGGGGAGCGAACAGG